rnacentral:rRNA from 1 species
AUUGAACGCUGGCGGCAGGCCUAACACAUGCAAGUCGAGCGGAGCGGCGGACGGGUGAGUAAUGCCUAGGAAUCUGUCUGGUAGUGGGGGAUAACGUCCGGAAACGGGCGCUAAUAUCGCAUACUAUCAGAUGAGCCUAGGUCGGAUGAGCUAGGUGGUGGGGUAAAGGCCUACCAAGGCGACGAUCCGUAACUGGUCUGAGAGGAUGAUCAGUCACAUUGGAACUGAGACACGGUCCAGACUCCUACGAGAGGCAGCAGUGGGGAAUAUUGGACAAGGGGCUAAAGCCUGAUCCAGCCAUGACGCGUGUGUGAAGAAGGUCGUCGGAUUGUAAAGCACUUUAAGUUGGGAGGCGUUACCAACAGAGUAAGCACCGGCUAACUUCGUGCCAGCAGCCGCGGUAAUUC